rnacentral:misc_RNA from 1 species
UCAUUCUCAAUCACGCUAUCAAUGUUUUCAAGCUCACCUCGCUUAAAUAGAGUCGAUCGUAAAGCAGGUAUGGAGAGUCCGUUUCUACACAGGAAGGCAGCUUCGCUGGUUAGCUGCGUUUGCGGUGAUAUCCGUAACGCAUAGCCCCGUGUCCGACGUCAUACGGAGCUAUCGCAUGUACAGAUUCCAUUUAUAUAAAGUAAGGUAGCUUAGCAGGUAGCUACGAGUACGUCGACAUCCGUAACACAUAGCUUAGUAUUCAUUCGGCGCGAUACAGAGCUAUCAUAUGUCC